rnacentral:tRNA from 1 species
GGCCUGGUGGCCUAAUGGUAAGGCAUUGCUUUCCGGUUCAACCUGCCUGGCAAAGAUUGCGGGUUCGAGUCCCGUCCGGGUCG